UACGUAGGGUGCAGGCGUUAAUCGGAAUUACUGGGCGUAAAGCGUGCGCAGGCGGCUCCUUAAGUCAGAUGUGAAAGCCCCGGGCUUAACCUGGGAACCGCAUUUGUGACUGCAUAGCUGGAGUACGGCAGAGGGGGAUGGAAUUCCGCGUGUAGCAGUGAAAUGCGUAGAUAUGCGGAGGAACACCGAUGGCGAAGGCAGUCCCCUGGGCCUGUACUGACGCUCAUGCACGAAAGCGUGGGG
rnacentral:rRNA from 1 species